GCCAUAAGUCUGAAAGUAGUCCCAGCUACUUGGCGGGCUGAGGCUGGAGGAUCGCUUAGUAUCACUAAGUGUGCUAUGCCAAUCGGGUGUCCGCACUAAUUUCAGCAUCAGUGUGGUGACUUGCUGGGUACUGGGGGCCACCAGGUUGCCUAAGGAAGGGUGAACCUGCCCAUAUUGGAAACUGAGCAGGCCAAAACUCCCGUGCUGAUCAGUAGUGGGAUCGUGCCUGGGAAUAGCCACUGCACUCCAGCCUGGG
ensembl:misc_RNA Metazoa_SRP Metazoan signal recognition particle RNA